rnacentral:tRNA from 1 species
ACCUGGUUGACUCAGUCAGUAGAGCGUGUGACUCUUGAUCUCAGGGUUGUGAGUUCAAGCCCCACAUUGGGUG